GGGGGUGUAGCUCAGUUGGGAGAGCGCUUGCUUCGCAUGUAAGAGGCCAGGGGUUCGAAUCCCCUCAUCUCCACCA
rnacentral:tRNA from 2 species